CAAAUACUCCCUCCGUCCGGUACUUGUCGGAGAAAUGGAUAUAUCUAGACGUAUUUUAAUUCUAGAUACAUCCAUUUUUAUCAAUUUCUCUGACAAGUAUUUCCGGAUGAAGGGAGUAUGUG
rfam:Triticum aestivum genome assembly, contig: Triticum_aestivum_CS42_TGACv1_scaffold_080562_1DS